GACGAACGCUGGCGGCGUGCCUAACACAUGCAAGUCGAACGGAGAUCAUUUAGCAAUAGGUGAUCUUAGUGGCGGACGGGUGAGUAACGCGUGAGCAACCUGCCCUUCGGUGGGGGACAACAGCUGGAAACGGCUGCUAAUACCGCAUAACGUAUUUGGGAGGCAUCUUCCGAAUACCAAAGAUUUAUUGCCGAGGGAUGGGCUCGCGUCUGAUUAGCUAGUUGGUAGGGUAAAGGCCUACCAAGGCUUCGAUCAGUAGCCGGACUGAGAGGUUGAACGGCCACAUUGGGACUGAGAUACGGCCCAGACUCCUACGGGAGGCAGCAGUGGGGAAUAUUGGGCAAUGGGCGAAAGCCUGACCCAGCAACGCCGCGUGAAGGAAGAAGGCCUUCGGGUUGUAAACUUCUUUGACCAGGGACGAAGAAAGUGACGGUACCUGGAAAACAAGCCACGGCUAACUACGUG
rnacentral:rRNA from 1 species